rnacentral:rRNA from 1 species
CCUACGGGAGGCAGCAGUGGGGAAUAUUGCGCAAUGGGCGAAAGCCUGACGCAGCGACGCCGCGUGAGGGAUGAAGGUCUUCGGAUCGUAAACCUCUGUCAGCAGGGAAGAACGGUCACUGUGCUAAUCAGCAGUGAAUUGACGGUACCUGCAAAGGAAGCACCGGCUAACUCCGUGCCAGCAGCCGCGGUAAUACGGAGGGUGUGAGCGUUAAUCGGAAUUACUGGGCGUAAAGCGCUCGUAGGCGGUAUGUCAAGUCAAGGGUGAAAUCCCCGGGCUCAACGUGGGAACUGCCUUUGAAACGGGCAAACUGGAGUGUGUGAGAGGAUAGUGGAAUUCCAGGGGUAGGAGUGAAAGCCGUAGAUAUCGGGAGGAACAUCAGUGCCGAAGGCGACUAUCUGGCACAUAACUGACGCUGAGGAGCGAAAGCGUGGGUAGCAAACAGGAUUAGAUACCCCAGUAGUC